rnacentral:rRNA from 1 species
CCCAGACUCCUACGGGAGGCAGCAGUGAGGAAUAUUGGUCAAUGGGCGCGAGCCUGAACCAGCCAAGUCGCGUGAGGGAAGACGGCCCUACGGGUUGUAAACCUCUUUUGUCGGGGAGCAAAGCGAGUCACGUGUGACUCAUUGAGAGUACCCGAAGAAAAAGCAUCGGCUAACUCCGUGCCAGCAGCCGCGGUAAUACGGAGGAUGCGAGCGUUAUCCGGAUUUAUUGGGUUUAAAGGGUGCGCAGGCGGAGGUGCAAGUCAGCGGUCAAAUUGCGGGGCUCAACCCCGUACUGCCGUUGAAACUGCAGCCCUUGAGUGCGCGAGAAGUAUGCGGAAUGCGUGGUGUAGCGGUGAAAUGCAUAGAUAUCACGCAGAACUCCGAUUGCGAAGGCAGCAUACCGGCGCGCAACUGACGCUCAUGCACGAAAGCGUGGGUAUCGAACAGGAUUAGAUACCCCCGUA